rnacentral:lncRNA from 1 species
AUAUGCUGCCACGUCACCAUCAACAGUACAUAAGAAUUUUAGUCCAACAGGAUCGUGACACCUCAUCAGUCAAUGCCACAUCAUCCGUCUAUGUGAACAGUGUCGUGAACAGUAACGUAUACAGUACCGUACACGUGAAUAGUACCGUACAUGUGAAUAGUGCCAUUUUUCUUUUUAUGCUCCUCCUAAGGUUUUCGACCGUCCUGAGUUCAAAAGUGAUGUCCGUUUUGCCGUCUGAUCUCUCCUUUAUUGUGAAAUGACUAUAAUGCCCCUAAAAUACAUAAAAUACUUAAUUAAAAUAAAACACAUGUAAUUAAAUCACAAGAAGGUUAAAUAUAUAAAAGUAAGGGUUGUUAGUAAGACUUAAAAUGUAAAAUGACGGUUUUCUCCUUUAUAAAUAUGCAUUUUCUAAUACUCAACAGCACCCCCCAACCAGCUUAUUGCUAGUCCCUAGCAAAUAAAGCGAAAACAAAAUUCAAAUUCAAAAUAUUUUUUUUUGUUUUAAUAGAAACACUCGUAUUUAUUCCAUCAGAUUAAUGAUAACACUCAAAUAAAAGUAUAAGCAUUAUCUCCAGUCUAAAGCAACAUCACACCCACAUCAACCAUCCACAUGAAUUAGCCCAGUAGACUUUGUUUUAGCUACUCUCAAGAAUGACAUGUCAAACCCCAAAAUCUCACUGGAAGUAGUGACACUCUCACAAAUAAAUUAAUCCCAAUAAAAUUAGUCACUCCAAUGAAUGGUAAUUGAGAGAGAAAAUAAUAAAGAAGUGAUAUCACAUGCUCUCACCAAGAUGAAAUAAAUAUGCCCUCAGCUUAGAAAUAAUACGAUCUCAAGUCAAAUAAAAUGUU